rnacentral:rRNA from 1 species
UACGGAGGGGGCUAGCGUUGUUCGGAAUUACUGGGCGUAAAGUGUGCGCAGGCGGCCGAGCAAGUCGAGUGUGAAAGCCCCGAGCUUAACUUGGGAACUGCGCUCGAAACUACUUGGCUAGAGUCCGGAAGAGGAGAGUGGAAUUCCCGGUGUAGCGGUGAAAUGCGCAGAUAUCGGGAAGAACACCCGUGGCGAAAGCGGCUCUCUGGAACGGUACUGACGCUGAGACGCGAAAGCGUGGGGAGCGAACAGG